rnacentral:tmRNA from 2 species
AAUGGUUUCGACGGGGGCAAGUUGCUCCUGGGAAGCGAGUCGAAGGGAUCCUGUACCUGCGUUAAAAAACUGGGAACUUAAAUAUAAUUGCAAACGAUAAUUUUGCAUUAGCUGCCUAAUAGUUGCAGCUCGUCAGCCUAAGAGUCCCACGACUUAGGGUCUGGCGUCGACAGUGGGGAACCGAGCCUUACAAAGCUUUGAGUAAGGAACGGAAUUAAUGAAGCUACUGAAUCUAAGAGCCUGUUUAUCGGCGCUUAGAGGAGGGAAUGUAAAAGGAUAAACUGCACUCGGAGAUGCCCAGGGGUUGCUGCUUUCGGACAGGGGUUCGAUUCA